rnacentral:lncRNA from 1 species
AUUAUCUGACUAACAUGGUGAAUCAAAUUUUAAUCAGAUCACUUAAUGAUUAGGGUUGACCCAUACUUACUAAAAAAUUAGUUUGACUGAUUUAGGUACCCCUAGUUCGACUUGUCUUUAUCCUCGACAUGACUUGGUGAAGUCAGUGGGAGGAUUGAUGACUUGUCAGUUGGACCGACUUGUUUCUAGUCCAUCCUGA